rnacentral:rRNA from 1 species
GACGAACGCUGGCGGCGUGCUUAACACAUGCAAGUCGAACGAGAAUCUACUGAAAGAGUUUUCGGACAAUGGAAGUAGAGGAAAGUGGCGGACGGGUGAGUAACGCGUGAGGAACCUGCCUUGAAGAGGGGGACGACAGUUGGAAACGACUGCUAAUACCGCAUGAAGCAUAGGGGUCGCAUGAUCUUUAUGCCAAAGAUUUAUCGCUUCAAGAUGGCCUCGCGUCUGAUUAGCUAGUUGGCGGGGUAACGGCCCACCAAGGCGACGAUCAGUAGCCGGACUGAGAGGUUGAACGGCCACAUUGGGACUGAGAUACGGCCCAGACUCCUACGGGAGGCAGCAGUGGGGAAUAUUGCGCAAUGGGCGCAAGCCUGACCCAGCAACGCCGCGUGAAGGAAGAAGGCUUUCGGGUUGUAAACUUCUUUUAAGAGG